rnacentral:rRNA from 1 species
GACGAACGCUGGCGGCGUGCUUAACACAUGCAAGUCGAACGGGAGUAUUGAAGAAGCUUGCUUUAGAGAUACUUUAGUGGCGGACGGGUGAGUAACGCGUGAGGAGCUGUCCUAUGCAGGGGGACGAACAGCUGGAAACGGCUGCUAAUACCCCACUAAGCCGAGAGGUAAAAGGAAUCAAUCCGGCAGAGGAGGUACUCGCGUCCUAUCAGCUAGUAGGUGAGGUAACGGCUCACCUAGGCGAAGACGGGUAGCCGGCCUGAGAGGGCGAACGGCCACACUGGAACUGAGAUACGGUCCAGACUCCUACGGGAGGCAGCAGUGGGGAAGUAUUGGGCGAAUGGGGGAAACCCGUGACCCAGCGACGCCGCGUGGGUGAAGAAAUCCUUCGGGAUGUAAAGCCCUGUUGUAUGGGAAGAGCGGAAGACGGUACCAUACGAGGAAGCCCCGGCAAACUAACGUG